rnacentral:rRNA from 1 species
UACGAAGGAUUCGAGCGUUAUCCGGAUUUAUUGGGUUUAAAGGGUGCGUAGGUGGAUUAAUAAGUCAGUGGUGAAAGCCCCGAAGCUCAACUUCGGAACUGCCAUUGAUACUGUUAAUCUUGAGUACAAUUGAAGUGGGCGGAAUGUGUCAUGUAGCGGUGAAAUGCUUAGAUAUGACACAGAACACCGAUUGCGAAGGCAGCUCACUAAGUUGUAACUGACACUGAGGCACGAAAGCGUGGGGAGCAAACAGG